UCCAUUUUGUCUGAUCUUCACAGAGUGAC
rnacentral:piRNA from 1 species